rnacentral:rRNA from 1 species
AUACGUAGGGGGCGAGCGUUGUUCGGAAUCAUUGGGCGUAAAGGGCGUGCAGGCGGUCCUGCAAGUCCGGCGUGAAAGACCCCGGCCCAACCGGGGGGACGCGCUGGAAACUGCAGGGCUUGAGUACAGGAGGGGAUGCCGGAAUUCCAGGUGUAGGGGUGAAAUCUGUAGAUAUCUGGAAGAACACCAAUGGCGAAGGCAGGCAUCUGGCCAUGUACUGACGCUGAGACGCGAAGGUGCGGGGAGCAAACAGGUUUAGAUACCCUGGUAGUCCGCACAGUAAACGAUGUGCACCAGGUGGCGGGGGGUCGACCCCCGGUACCGUAGCUAACGCAUUAAGUGCACCGCCUGGGGAGUAUGCUCGCAAGGGUGAAACUUAAAGGAAUUGACGGGG